UCAGUUCGGGUACUGCUCCAAAAUGGUUUCAUUUAUGGCUUUAAUACCAGUUCACCAUGAAGUUCUAUCUUGGUCUAGUCGCUGUGCUUUGCUUUUGCGCCACCAAAUCGAUGGCAGAUAAUGGCAAACAAAUAAGCUCGGCAAACAUGUCGAGCUAUACAUUUAUUAAAAACUUGACGGAUGUUACCAAAAUUAAGUGCUACCUAUAUUGGAUGUCCAGACUUGUCAAGAAUUCAGGAAAUAUAGUUUCUGAGUUGGCAAAAUGUGUCAAACAAUUUAGCGACAAAGCAAUUCGCGUAGUGACCGCCUUCAAAGAGCUUGUCGCAGUAAUCAGGCCCAUUUUUGAGGCCUGUACGGGUAUAAUCGUGGAUAAAGUCGUCGGUGGAGCAGCUUGUUUGAAAGCAUUUACACUAAAUGCUUUCUCAUUGUUUAGAGCAUUGAAAAAGUUCCACGACGAGGUUAACAGUGAACCACAAAGUAAAACCGAGUGCGCGAAGAUUGCGCUUAAAGAAUAUUUUGAGGCUUCCAGUGUUUACGAAGUCAUCGAUAGCUGUAUAUAUCCGGGUAAUACAACAACUACUAAAGCUGCAGUGACUUCCAAACCUACUGAUCGGCCAUUCUACAAAAAACUAUUACCUUUUAUUUGACUAAACAAUGCAUUCGAGGCUACCUGAUGAGAAGCUGUCAUUAAAAGAAUGCAUAAAAUAAAUAUACAUACAUACAUAAGUGUAAGAAAUCGUAUCUAUAUGGUAGAUUUAUGUGCAGAGGUUCCGAAGCAAAUCAAUUUGGGUAUGUCUGUCGCCCUGCGGGUAGUAGACUCUUUCAUUUGGGGCUUAAAUAUCAGUUCACCAUGAAGAGCCAUCUUGUGCUGGCCCUUGCGCUGUGCUGGCUCCCUCUUUUAUCGUUGGCAGAUAAUGGCGAAAAUAUAAGCUCCGCAAACAUGUCAAGCUUUGAAAUUUUAAAAAAGUUGACGGAUGUUACCAAAAUGAAGUGUUACCUAUAUUGGAUGUCCAGACUUGUCAAGAAUUCAGGAAGUAUAGUUUCUGAGUUGUUUAAAUGUGGCAAACAAUAUGGCGGAAAAGCAAUUCGCGUAGUGACCGCCUUCAAAGACCUUGUCGCAGGAAUGUUGCCUAUUUUUAAUUCCUGUAAGGGUGUAAUCGUUGAUGCAAUCGUCGGUGGAGCAACUUGUGUGAAAGCAUUUGCACAACAGGCAUUCUCUUUGGUGGAAUCAUUGACUAAGUUCAACAAGGAGAUGAGCAGUGAACCAAACAAUGAAUCCAGCUGCGUGAACACUGCUUUUAAGAAAUAUUUCGAAGCUUCAAGUGUUUACGAAGUCAUCGAUAGCUGUUCCCUUCCGGUUACAACAACAACUGCUAAACCAGUUACAACUACCCAGCCUCCUACUGAUAAGCCAUUCUACAAAAAAAUAAUUUCUUUAUUUGACUAAAUAAUGCAUUCGAGGCUACCCGAUGAGAAGCUGUCAUUAAAAGAAUCCAUAAAGUAAAUAUACAUACAUUAGUGUAAGAAAUCGUAUCUAUAUGGCAGAUUUAUGUGCAGAGGUUCCGAAGCAAAUCAAUUUGGUUAUGUCUGUCGCCCUGCGGGUAGUAGACUCUUUCAUUUGGGGCUUAAAUGUCAGUUCACCAUGAAGACCCAUCUUGUGCUGGCCUUUGCGCUGUGCUGGUUCCCUCUUUUAUCGUUGGCAGAUAAUGGCGAAAAAAUAAGCUCCGCAAACAUGUCAAGCUUUCAAAUUUUCAAAAAAUUGACGGAUGUUACCAAUAUGAAGUGUUACCUAUAUUGGAUGUCCAGACUUGUCAAGAAUUCAGGAAAUAUAGUUUCUGAGUUGGCAAAAUGUGUCAAACAAUUUAGCGACAAAGCAAUUCGCGUAGUGACCGCCUUCAACGACCUUGUCGCAGGAAUCGAGCCUAUUUUUGAAUCAUGUAAGGGUGUAAUCGUGGAUGCAAUCGUCGGUGGAACAUCUUGUGUGAAAGCAUUUGUCCAAAAGGCAUACUCUUUGAUUGGAUCAUUGAAAAAGUUCAACAGCGAUGUUAACAGUGGACCAAACACUCAAUCCGGGUGCGCGAGCACGGCUUUUAAGAAAUAUUUCGAAGCUUCAAGUGUUUACGAAGUCAUCGAUAGCUGUUCCCUUCCGGUUACGACAACAACUGCUAAACCUGUUACAACUACCCAGCCUCCUACCGAUAAGCCAUUCUACAAAAAAAUAAUUUCUUUAUUUGACUAAACAAUGCAUUCGAGGCUACCUGAUGAGAAGCUCUCAUUAAAUGAAUGCAUACAUAA